ACGAUCUAUUUCCCCACUAGAACUAUCAUAUCAUAACAGAUAGAGCCCAAUCUAUGACUACGUGCUAGAUGUCCCCGAAAAAAUACUUCUCAACUUAUAUUUCCCCGAAUUCAUAGUUCAAAACCUAUAUAUCCCCAGAAUAAUAGUUUUCACCUAAUUUAUCCACAAACAUUGGUUUUGUUCGGUUAACUGUUUGCUUAACCAACUAACGAAGACACUAAACCGGAGUAAACCUAAUCUAAACAAAAUACAAUUAAAUUAUUAGUUAAUUGAAUAAAUAAGUACAAAGAAAAAAAAUACGAUGGCUUUCUUCUUUCUUUGGCUUUCUCCCUUUCGAUGAGGGUGAACGGUGAUGUCGUCUCCGGUGAUGGUGGCUCUGGUGAUAUCGGCUCCGGAAAUGUCGUCUCCGAUGAUGGUGGCUAAUGGCUAUAGAUCUAUUUCACAGUGGUUCCCCUCUUCUUCUUAUUCCUCCUCUCCGCUUUGAUCUGCUUCAUAAUCAGAGCUCCAUAGACUUUAAUUUUAUUCGUCUAUCCCACAUCAUCCCACCCAUUGAAAUCGCAUGCUUCGCGAUUUUGUUGAAGAUUGUGAAUUCUUCGUUGAAUCCACCAUUAUCAACUUGAUGUCAAAGAAUGUGUAUUUGCAAUGAUGCAUACCAAUCUUAUAAUUCGACAAGGUGAAAUCAGCUUUUGAGAGUACGGAGAGAGAUUCAGAUAGUUCAAGAAACGCCAAUCGCCAGAAGAGUCAUGAAGAGAAGAUAGAUCUCAUCACGAUUGCGUGUGCGUCACCGGCGAAGGGCUUUCUUCGGCGGCUCUUUGCCGAGAUUUGCUGGAUUGGCUCACUGCUCAAGGAGUUUUGUCACGAAAAUAAGUUUCAGGAGGUCGUAUCUCUCUUUGAUUCAAUGGCCAACAUGGGAUUCAAACCUAAUGUUGUCAUCUGCAACAUUGUGACUAAUGGUAUUUGCAGAAACAGAGAUGUGGAUAACACCACACUGGAGAUUGUUUACAAUUUCUUUAUUUUUUAAAAAAAUAAAAACUCUGGAAUUAG